rnacentral:rRNA from 1 species
AUUGAACGCUGGCGGCAGGCCUAACACAUGCAAGUCGAGCGGAUGAAGGGAGCUUGCUCCUGGAUUCAGCGGCGGACGGGUGAGUAAUGCCUAGGAAUCUGCCUGGUAGUGGGGGAUAACGUCCUGAAACGGGCGCUAAUACCGCAUACGUCCUGAGUGAGAAAGUGGGGGAUCGUCGGACCUCACGCUAUCAGAUGAGCCUAGGUCGGAUUAGCUAGUUGGUGGGGUAAAGGCCUACCAAGGCGACGAUCGGUAACUGGUCUGAGAGGAUGAUCAGUCACACUGGAACUGAGACACGGUCCAGACUCCUACGGGAGGCAGCAGUGGGGAAUAUUGGACAAUGGGCGAAAGCCUGAUCCAGCCAUGCCGCGUGUGUGAAGAAGGUCUUCGGAUUGUAAAGCACUUUAAGUUGGGAGGAAGGGCAGUAAGUUAAUACCUUGCUGUUUUGACGUUACCAACAGAAUAAGCACCGGCUAACUUCGUG